GAUGCUCUUUUGAUCCUUUCCUCAUGUUGGAUGAGUUCUUUGUUACUGCUCCUGCUGGAUUCCCAGACCAUCCUUAUAGAGGUUUUGAGACAGUUACAUGUUGGAGGUUUGU